UAGUAACAUUUGAUUGGGAUAAAGACAGAGAAAUGGGGAAAAUCCGUAACAUUUAGAGGCAAACAGACGCACAGUUCAAACUUCGGGGAUGGUUACAUCCACAUAGAAGACCCCGACAAAGAGAAAGUGUGCCUGAACGACUUAUUUCAUUGGAGGCAUCGAGAUCUGCAAGAAUACUUUUUCUGUUUCUUAUGGGUGUCAUCUACGUUGGAUGUCUGUGUUUCCCCAGAACCUCAUCCACUCUACGCACUAUAACUCCGCUACAAACACUUACCUUCGGCUCUAUUCCCCGCAGUUCCUGUGCUAUCCUCUCCUGCUGCCUACUCACCAUCAUCAUCCGGAUUCCUCACCUCCUCACCACCAUCUCGGAGUGUCAUCUUCUCAGUUGUAUUGUUCCCUUGUGUUUGUUUGUUUAUCCAUUUUCAUUAAAAACAAUUACUCACAUUUGCUUCCAGCCUUUCCUUCACCCCACCGUCACAUCUGAAUUAUGACUACUCAAUAAAUCUCAU